rnacentral:lncRNA from 1 species
AUGAUUAUAGAUACAUUAGUUUAUGUCAAUAUGGACACAGAUCCUUCAACGCGUUGGAAUGCUCUUUUUGACAGCUUCAAACCCCAUAUUCCGUCCAUUGAUUCGGAUUCUUCAUCGUCUGAAAAUGAAGAAGACAUUUCCAUCUUUCGGCGACCAGUAGCCCUUCUUCCUAAACACACAGAGUGCCUAGAGUGUCUGUCAUUGGAGGACUCUGAAAUAGAGGAGCUUCUAAUAUCUAUGGCACAGCCACAACUGUGUUUGACAGAGGAGACCAUUUGCCCUCAUAGAGAGCCUACAACUGAACCCCAUGGAGUUUAUCAAGCUACUGAUUUAGCCCAGCAGGGCACACACCAGGAGCUCAGUCCCAUAGGUAAUACGGUAAAUGAGAUAUGCAGCCAUGACUCUAUUAGAAAUGCAGCUUGGGCAGGAGGCCAUCCACGCAGCAACGUUCCUGUGGAGAUGAAAGGGGACACCUCAGCGCACCACAGCCAUGGCACACUAAACAGACAAAAAACAACUGAGUCCACAUCGCCACAGACUUCACACAACACAGCUUGUGAAGAAAACACAUUGGAGUCACUCAAUGCUUUGAGAAAGACACCGAGAACUGAACCAAAUGGCUCUAUGAAAAAGCCACUACAAAAUAGUCAAACUGUUUUGUCUUUUGAGCCACUGGAGCACUGGGAUCUGGACCAGAUUCUUCUGACUCUUCAAACAGACAGACUCUUUUUAGGAGGCAGUGUGUCUGACGAACCUAUGGAAAUACAACCAGAUGGAGACAAUGUAAGGUCACAGGAUACUAUAUUGGAGAGGCUGUCUGCUUUCUGUAGGACACAGUCAUGUGGAGAUGCUGAAGAGAAAAGAGAAACUGCGCCAGAUAAAACCUCUGGUGUGCCUCAGAAAGCACCUGUCCAACAUCCUACCAAUUUCAGACAAAAUGGUGGAUGGAGAAAGUCUUUCAAAAGGAUGGCAUUUGAGUUGCAGCCAAGCCGCCAGGAAGCGCCCACCGUUUAUAUUGAUUUACGUAACCCUGAGCCUCCCACGAACACAACCAGACCAUGUAACAGCGCUUCAUCACAAUCCAUGAAGCUGACCAACCCCAACCUACAUGACGAAAACCAAUCUGAUAAGAAAACAGACAAUAAUAUACGGUCUGGUUUACUGAAUGGAAAAGAGGAAGUAACUGGAAAGAGCCUGUUACUCAGAAUGUUACGCGAGGCGAACAGAAACAGGAGAGAGCCGGACAGGAAAGAUCCAGUUCCAGCAGAUUCUACAUGCAGAACCCCCAGAAGAGUGUCCUUGAAGGACAAGCUGCCUGAGGCUAACAGUGAGAUAACAUCUCUGCUUCCAGAGGUGGACAACCAAAUCACAAUGAAGCGUGACCAAAACAGGCCGCCAGUUGAGAGAACACCUGCUUUUCAGCAGAGUGCUACUACCGGGCAGCCAAAGAAACAAAGUGACCGAGAGCAGAGAGAGCAACAGAAACAGAGAGCACAGCGCCAGCAACAGCUCGAGAAACAGCUGGAAAGCUUUAGACCAACAAGGUCUGCUGGAGACAGGGAGCCUGCCGCUGAGAAGACUGAUGUUCUUUAUGACACUGAGGCCUCUCACCUACAAUCAGUUAAUACUCUGCCUGCUGAUAUGGAGGAUAAGGAGUGCUUGCUGCUGACUGUAUGCCUCUCCAGUCCCGGCCUGGUAGCCAGCAGCAGUCCUCAUUGGAAAGCACCAACAGUGGAGUCAGCCACAACCAAAUCCACUAUAUACAAUGCUCUGGUUGCUUGGUUUCUGUCUUUGGUUGGAGCACCAGACCCUCAAGGGGGUGAUGACAGGGCUGCUGUACCUUUCUGGGUGGCCGGCCUACAGCAGCUGUGGACAGAGGAUGGACUGGCUCUACACAUCUGUGCUGUGUCCCACGGAGAGAGCCUACAACUUGUCCGAAAACCCCGGAAAUGGGGUGUGGAUAAGGGUCAUAGUGUGUUCCAGCAGCGUGUCUGCAGGUUCCUCUCUCAGACCUCCCUCAGAGCCAUCACCCAUUGGCUGCCGCAGCUCAGGAGCCUAUUAGACCAAGAGGCCUAUCCCCCAACCGUCCACAUACCUGCCUCCUGCCUGGACAGUUUUAUCUCUGUCAACUCAGACAAAAUGGCUGUGAAGAGGACCUUCGGUCUGAACCCAGGCUUCUACUGGCAGACUGUGGAGACUCAGGAGCUCAGCUGUCAGAGGCCUGAGACCAUGUGCACUCAGCAGCUACACACAGAGAUAGCUGUUGCUCUGGGAUACACGUCUUUGUUCCUGCAUCCCUUGGUGGUUCACCACACCCUCCAGCUUCUCCACAGCUCAGGCCUGGAUGUGUGUGGCCUCCGCCUCCUUUACCCUCCUCCUGACCUUCUGACCAACAGCGCCGGCAGGGUAUCCUACGGGCAGGGAGAUGAUGGGGCCGAUGAGCCCGUCCUUGCCCUGGCUGUCCGAGGGCCUCACGCCCGCACCGUGUGGCAGGAUGUAACAGGCCCUUCAGACCCCCUGUUGGCUAGGAAGACAGACCCGGCAUCCAUCAACGCCCUGCACUACAGCAGCAAGAACUUGCCCCUCCUCUACUCCCCUCGCCUGGCCAGCAGUGUGCACAGAGAACUGGUCACGUGGUUCGCAGGGAGAGUUCCAGGGAAUAAUUCCCAGAACCCUGACCAGGCUCCAACUGACAGCUCUGCCCCUGGUGAUGGAGAGGGAAGCAGCCCCUUGUAUUUAACCAGGUCCUCUACCACCCUGUGUGCUACUGUUAAAGUGGACGUGUUCUUGAUAGUGUCCCCAGCGGUGGCGCCGUGCUGCUACAGCCGGGUUCUGUCUGUGUGUGAGGGCAGAGGGUUCAGUCUGAGGGGGGUCCAGAGGCUGCAGCUCCCCACCAAACGAACCCAGGCACUGGGACUCACCAGACAGCAGGUGGCAGUGUUCUGCAGUCCGCCCACUGUUACUGUGGAUGAGAAGAAAGUUGAGCUGUCUUCCCACUGCCUGGUCUUACUUCUGAGGAGAGAGAGUGGCCUGCGUCACUGUGCCAGCCUGCCUGCAGCCCUUAUGAAAGAGUUCGAGAAGCAGAGGUUGUUGGGAUGUAUCCACAUCAGACUGUCAGAUGAAGGAAAGCUGGACCCGAGCAGCUGCUUUCACAUGUUGCCCUACAGAGAGAGCCUGCUCCAUAGCUUUGGUGGGCGAAUGUGGGCCGUACCCAACCCCUGCAAUGUGGUGCUGUCCAAUCACAGGUGUCCAUCCAACCCAGAGCUGGAGCAGGUGGUGGUGCUUACGCUGUCUGGAAGGGACAUCAGUCAGGGCCUGAGCCUGCUACACAGGCUCUGGACAGGGGACACAACAGGCGAUGUCGUGGAGGAUGGAUUCGAGCUGCUGGCCCUGAAAUGGCUGCCUACAUUGUCCCGGCAGCAGGCGCGGGAGGUGAGCCCCUAUGAGGUAGGAGACCGGCUGUGGCAGAGCAGCCUGGUGGGCCUGGCCUCCUCCCCUGCCCUGGUGUGUGCUCUGAGGAGGGUGGACGCCUUCGCCACGCUACGGCGGCUCCUGCCACGGGACUACCCCGGGAACCUGAACAUACUGUUGUCUCCCACUCCUGAACUGGCCUUCAGACAAGCGUCCCUCUUCUUCUCCCUGGGAGACAUGAUCCCUGAUCACAGUGUGCGCCCAUUACUGAAGUUCCUACCCCCACCUCGCAUUAAUGUAGCUGGUUCCCAGUGUGAGUCAUUGUUUAACUGCAUGGUGCAGGGUCCCCAGCCGCUGGUCACACUGUGUCUGUUCAAGCCUGGAGUGUGGGGCCAUGCUCUGGGGAAAAUCCUCAGCAAAGUCCAGCGGAGUGGCUUCACUGUGGUGGGCCUGCAUGUGCUGGUUCUGGACAAUAGCACAGCUGUGUCACUGGCGUCUGCUGCAGAGCAUCAGGACCCCUCUGCUGUAGAAGCCCAUGUCCAGUACUUGAGCUCUGGGCCUUCCCUGGCUCUGUGCCUACAGAGGGAGAAUGCUGUGAAGAGGCUACUGGACGUGCUGGGACCUGAGGACCCUGCCCAGGCCCGCGCUCAGGACCAAUUCCUCUGGAGGGCCGAUUACAGUUCGGACCAGCUACACAGCGGCAUCUAUGGAUCGAGGAGCUAUCAGAGAGCUGUUCAGGAUGUGAAGAGGCUGUUCCCUCAGGGCCUAUGCUGCACAGAGACCAACACCAUGAGACAGGAGCAGAUACCCAGUGUACACUCAGACCAUUUGGCUUGUCUGGCUCGUGAACAGAGCCACACUCUUGCUGCUGCGAACAAGCCAUCUUUAUCACACCUUAUGGCGUCUGGACUGAAUGGAGCAGGGCUCUUGGUCCGCAGUGCUCUCUGCCAAACCACCUGCCUGCUGCUGCCCACCAGUGUACUGGGCCCAGCCCCCAUCCACCUGGACCUGCUUGAGCAGCUGCUGAGGACAGGCUGCCACCUGGUGGCCGGGAGGAUGACUGUCCUGGACGAGACCCAGCGAUGUCACAUAGCUGAGACACUGGUGCUACCCUCUGAGAGGGAUGGGAAGAUUUGUUCUCUACCCGAGGGCCCUUGUCUUAUCGUUGUUCUACAGAAGGAUAACGCUGUGACCUGCUUUGACUCCAUGCUUGAAAGUAUUUACAGAGAGAGGUCUAACCUUGCCAAAGUGGGGAAAAUGCUGAUAUAUCCCAGCACUGAAAAAAAAGCAUUGCAGCUUCUGUGCUAUCUAUUUGAUGUCCUGUCUCCUGAUAGUCAUCAUGCCAUUGUACCACAGCAAUCUGAGUGA